GAUGAACGCUAGCGGGAGGCCUAAUACAUGCAAGUCGAGCGGUAGAGUGACUUCGGUUGCUUGAGAGCGGCGCACGGGUGAGUAACGCGUACAUGACCUACCUUUAAGACUGGGAUAGCCCUGGGAAACUGGGAUUAAUACCGGAUGUGAUAAUACGUAUAGAGAUGUAUUAUUAAAGUUGAGGCGCUUAGAGAUGGAUGUGCGUCUGAUUAGCUAGUUGGUAGGGUAACGGCCUACCAAGGCGACGAUCAGUAGGGGGCGUGAGAGCGUGGCCCCCCACACGGGUACUGAGACACGGACCCGACUCCUACGGGAGGCAGCAGUAAGGAAUAUUGGUCAAUGGACGGAAGUCUGAACCAGCCAUCCCGCGUGCAGGAUGACUGCCCUAUGGGUUGGUAAACUGCUUUUAGCAGAGACGAAACGCC
rnacentral:rRNA from 1 species